UUCCGUAGGUGAACCUGCGGAAGGAUCAUUCGCACGCAUCCAAUCAAUAUCACUGUGCAUUUUUCCGUGAGCUUCUGCAUGAGGAAGGAGGUGUUCUGCAUCGAUUCCCUCAUGCAGAAGAUCAAGGGUAGUUUGGGGCUGGAUGGGUGCGCGUUCGUCCUGCGGGCGUGUUCACUUCCUUCCUGUUCUGGCUACCACCCGCCUCUGGCGCUCUGUCAACCACAGACGUUCCGUCUCCUUACUUUGGAUUCUAAGAUCUUUCUUAUCACUUUCGGUGAUUGAUGUCUCGGCUCAAUUAACGAUGAAGGGCACAGCGAAGUGUGAUAUGCAUUGUGAACUGCAGAAUUCCGUGAAUCAAUAGGGACUUGAACGUACACUGCGCUUUCGGGAUAUCCCUGAAAGCAUGCCUGCUUCAGUGUCCUUGCCAUGUACUUCCAGUGACACUUACUCCGUUCGCGUGAGUUGUGUCGCUUGUGCGUGUGUGUUUGUGCAUCAGAGCGCUUUUCUGCCUCUGAUGCGCUUAGAGCUUGGGGCUGCUUCACGAUGUGCAACAGAUUAAGCACCCUCGGUGUUUGUUCGUUGUCACGUUCGGGGAGAGAGCUCUGCUAUCCAGCACCUUCUGCGUGCGAUUUCCAAGACAUGAAGUUAGGUCAGCAAACCCGCUGAAUUUAAGCAUAUCA
rnacentral:rRNA from 1 species